AUUGAACGCUGGCGGCAGGCUUAACACAUGCAAGUCGAGCGGGGUGAUGGUGCUUGCACUAUCACUUAGCGGCGGACGGGUGAGUAAUGCUUAGGAAUCUGCCUAUUAGUGGGGGACAACAUCUCGAAAGGGAUGCUAAUACCGCAUACGUCCUACGGGAGAAAGCAGGGGAUCACUUGUGACCUUGCGCUAAUAGAUGAGCCUAAGUCGGAUUAGCUAGUUGGUGGGGUAAAGGCCUACCAAGGCGACGAUCUGUAGCGGGUCUGAGAGGAUGAUCCGCCACACUGGGACGGAGACACGGCCCAGACUCCUACGGGAGGCAGCAGUGGGGAAUAUUGGACAAUGGGGGGAACCCUGAUCCAGCCAUGCCGCGUGUGUGAAGAAGGCCUUAUGGCUGUAAAGCACUUUAAGCGAGGAGGAGGCUCUUUUGGUUAAUACCCAGAAUGAGUGGACGUUACUCGCAGAAUAAGCACCGGCUAACUCUGUGCCAGCCGCCGCCGUAA
rnacentral:rRNA from 1 species